UGGGGAAUUUUGGACAAUGGGCGAAAGCCUGAUCCAGCAACGAUGCGUGGAGGAUGAAGGUUCUCGGAUUGUAAACUCCUUUUGAGAGGGAAGAAAAAAAUGACGGUACCUCUCGAAUAAGCCACGGCUAACUACGUGCCAGCAGCCGCGGUAAGACGUAGGUGGCAAGCGUUACUCGGAAUUACUAGGCGUAAAGCGCGCGUAGGCGGAAUGUUAAGUCUGUUGUGUAAUCUCUGGGCUCAACCCAGAAACUGCAACAGAAACUGGCGUUCUUGAGUGAGGCAGAGGAAAUCGGAAUUCCUAGUGUAGCAGUGAAAUGCGUAGAUAUUAGGAGGAACACCGGUGGCGAAGGCGGAUUUCUGGGCCUUUACUGACGCUAAAGUGCGAAAGCUAGGGGAGC
rnacentral:rRNA from 1 species